UUUCCGUAGGUGAACCUGCGGAGGGAUCAUUACAGAGUUCAUGCCCUACCGGGUAGAUCUCCCACCCUAUGUUAUUAUUACUUUGUUGCUUUGGCGGGCCGUUAGGCUCCGGCCCGACUACCGGCCCCGGCUGGUAAGCGCCCGCCAGAGGACCCAAAACCCUGAAUAUUAGUGUCGUCUGAGUACUAUAUAAUAGUUAAAGCUUUCAACAACGGAUCUCUUGGUUCUG
rnacentral:misc_RNA from 1 species